UGGGGGGCCCAUCCUCCAAGGCUAAAUACUCCUGACUGACCGAUAGUGAACCAGUACCGUGAGGGAAAGGCGAAAAGAACCCCGGCGAGGGGAGUGAAAAAGAACCUGAAACCGUGUACGUACAAGCAGUGGGAGCACGCUUAGGCGUGUGACUGCGUACCUUUUGUAUAAUGGGUCAGCGACUUAUAUUCUGUAGCAAGGUUAACCGAAUAGGGGAGCCGAAGGGAAACCGAGUCUUAACUGGGCGUUAAGUUGCAGGGUAUAGACCCGAAACCCGGUGAUCUAGCCAUGGGCAGGUUGAAGGUUGGGUAACACUAACUGGAGGACCGAACCGACUAAUGUUGAAAAAUUAGCGGAUGACUUGUGGCUGGGGGUGAAAGGCCAAUCAAACCGGGAGAUAGCUGGUUCUCCCCGAAAGCUAUUUAGGUAGCGCCUCGUGAAUUCAUCUCCGGGGGUAGAGCACUGUUUCGGCA
rnacentral:rRNA from 1 species